CAUCCUCUUUUGUGAAAGUCACCAAAACCAACACUGAUGGAGGUAGACAAAAACACCUCACUAGUACAGAAGUCUGAGAACAGCUAAAAGACUUGACCAACCCAGCUGUCUCAAAUGAUGUUAUGCAAAUAUACUAUCUCAAAGAUUUCACACUUGAUCUCUACAGCACACAAGAAAGACACUCUAUAGCAGAAAAACCUUGUUUAGAAAUUAGAAUUCAAAUGGAAGAAGCAGUCUUAGCAACCAAAAAUUGUGGCUAUGAAGUCAUCGAACAACUGAUAACUGCAUAUCCAGCACAGACAUUAUCCUUGUUGUUUGUAUUGACUUCAUUGAAAUGGAAACAGCUAUAAAAAUAUCAUAGAGCUUGAAUGAAAUGGAGAGAAAGCGGAUAAGUUUGCCCGAGUAUCCAUUCACUGGAAGAGAAGGCAGCAGUUCACAAUCAAUGUGAAUAUUGAAAACUGGAAAUGAUCGAUGCCAUGAGUACAGACGUAUAGUUGUAGUGUCUAGUGCUGUAACAUUUUUUCCUACUUAUUAAUUGCAGUGAACAACAGAUCAAAGAUAUUUUAUGUAAGGUAAAUGGAGGACCACUUAUGUCGUGGUAAACUCAAAACUAUGUCAACAAUCUUUGAUGCCUCAAUACUUAAUUAUUAAUAAAUAUCGUUGUUCUCAA